rnacentral:rRNA from 1 species
UACGGGGGGGGUAAGCGUUGUUCGGAAUUACUGGGCGUAAAGGGCUCGUAGGCGGCCAACUAAGUCAGACGUGAAAUCCCUCGGCUUAACCGGGGAACUGCGUCUGAUACUGGAUGGCUUGAGUUUGGGAGAGGGAUGCGGAAUUCCAGGUGUAGCGGUGAAAUGCGUAGAUAUCUGGGGGAACACCGGUGGCGAAGGCGGCAUCCUGGACCAACACUGACGCUGAGUGAGCGAAAGCCAGGGGAGCAAACGGG